GAUGAACGCUAGCGAUAGGCUUAACACAUGCAAGUCGAGGGGCAGCAUGGUUUUAGCUUGCUAAGACUGAUGGCGACCGGCGCACGGGUGCGUAACGCGUAUGCAACUUGCCUCACAGAGGGGGAUAACCCGUCGAAAGACGGACUAAUACCGCGUACACUUGGGAUAGGGCAUCCUGACCCAAGGAAAUGAAAUUCGCUGUGAGAUAGGCAUGCGUCCCAUUAGCUAGUUGGUGAGGUAACGGCUCACCAAGGCGACGAUGGGUAGGGGAACUGAGAGGUUGAACCCCCACACUGGUACUGAGACACGGACCAGACUCCUACGGGAGGCAGCAGUGAGGAAUAUUGAUCAAUGGGCGAGAGCCUGAACCAGCCAAGUCGCGUGAAGGAUGACUGUCUUAUGGAUUGUAAACUUCUUUUAGACGGGAAUAACAAGAGCCACGUGUGGCUCCCUGCAUGUACCGUAUGAAUAAGCAUCGGCUAACUCCGUG
rnacentral:rRNA from 1 species